rnacentral:misc_RNA from 1 species
CCGAGUUUACAACUCCCAAACCCCUGUGAACAUACCACUUGUUGCCUCGGCGGAUCAGCCCGCUCCCGGUAAAACGGGACGGCCCGCCAGAGGACCCUAAACUCUGUUUCUAUAUGUAACUUCUGAGUAAAACCAUAAAUAAAUCA